CGUAUUUCGACACGAGGACAAACAGACCGAAGAUGAAGUUAUUCAUUUUUGUUGUGUUCAUGCUAUGUCUAGCCACACUGGCCUCAAGUAUCACUCAAACACAAUACGACUCUUAUGGAAAGUGCAUUAUGAUGGAACCA